GAUGAACGCUGGCGGCGUGCUUAACACAUGCAAGUCGAACGAUGAAGCCCAGCUUGCUGGGUGGAUUAGUGGCGAACGGGUGAGUAACACGUGAGUAACCUGCCCUUAACUCUGGGAUAAGCCUGGGAAACUGGGUCUAAUACCGGAUAGGAGCGUCCACCGCAUGGUGGGUGUUGGAAAGAUUUAUCGGUUUUGGAUGGACUCGCGGCCUAUCAGCUUGUUGGUGAGGUAAUGGCUCACCAAGGCGACGACGGGUAGCCGGCCUGAGAGGGUGACCGGCCACACUGGGACUGAGACACGGCCCAGACUCCUACGGGAGGCAGCAGUGGGGAAUAUUGCACAAUGGGCGCAAGCCUGAUGCAGCGACGCCGCGUGAGGGAUGACGGCCUUCGGGUUGUAAACCUCUUUCAGUAGGGAAGAAGCGAAAGUGACGGUACCUGCAAGAAGCACCGGCUAACUACGUG
rnacentral:rRNA from 1 species